rnacentral:lncRNA from 1 species
UAUGAUAGUGCCAUGGUUAUGAGAAGGGUCUGUAGCAGACUGGCUUUGUUUGAACCUGGUUCUACUCACUUUAGCUGAUUAAAUUUGGUCAAGCAAGAUACUCUAUCUGUAGCUCAGUUUGUUCAUCUGUAUUUUACAGAUGAAGAAAAAUAGGUCCUACUUCAUGGUGUUGUUGUGAGAAACAAAUGAGUCCAUGCAUGUAAAGUGGUUAGAAGAGUGACUAGCCCAUAAUAUUAAUAGUAACUUAAGAUUAUGUUUAUGCUUUUCAUGAUUGGACUAUUAGUUUAUUCUAAAACUUAAAAAGUAAUAAAUUGCGUUUACUUAAAUGAGACUAAGUAAAUUUCUUUAUAGCAGUGCCAAAUGGUGUGCUCAUAUUUAGUAUCUUUAUCUGCAGAUCCAUUGUCAUGACUUCUGAGCUGUUUGAAAGAGAAUGUUCUCAGAAUCAAGCCAUUUGGAAUGGACAGAAUGAAACAGAAGUCAAAGAGCUGUCUACACGUCCUUCCCAAGCUAUAAUUAAGAUGGAAGCUCAUUUGCCAUUCUGAGGAUUGGUGCAAUCAAGCAUAUGACAGCAAGAUUUUGGAACAUUUUUAUCAGUUUUGGAACCACAGCUCCUCCAUGGCCAAAUUUCUCUUUAUGUCUCAGGUUUCAGAGCAUGGCCUAAUAUUUCCCGUACAGACAGGCCGCUCCGCUGCCCUUCUGAUUCAGCUGACCACUGUGCACUGUAGCGACGUGCAAGGGGUAGGAGUGGACACAUUCCAGCUCGCUGGGGUUUGGAACGGCACCUCUCAUUCCCAGAGAAGGGAUUCUCUGUGGAGGCUGAGUUGGCAGUGCUCAAGCUUGCCUUGCGGUUGGCACGUAGGCCAUCAGCAAUCAUCUGAGUAUCAACCUGCCAAGCUGAGGCCGUCCUGGGGCACAGAGAUUUAUUGCUAACAGAGGAAAGAAAAGAAACCAUUUCCUUAAUUCUGCUUUGCAGGCCACUCUCAUGGAAAGGAACUCCCCUGCUGCCCUGAUCAGUUCAAUAUCUAACUCAUCAUGCCUGUGUUCUUCCCCAGCAGCUCAGGCCGGUCUGCUACCAGGAACAGGUGCCAAAUCAGAGUGUGGAAUUUUCCCAGCAGGCCCCAGGGUGUGUUGCUGCCAAGGCAACUGUGGUAGGGUUGGGGAAUAACUAGCGAACCACAAAUCCAGAAAAGGAAGAGGAGGCCUCCUUUUCGGCUUGGGCCAACUCAGAUGUGCCAGUAAAUAUGAAUUGGUUGGAUUUGACUUCUCAAUGAUACACAAUGAUUCUCUACCUGGACUAACACCACAGAGGAUGCCAUAGAAACUUCUGAGAUUUCGAUGAUAAAUAUAAAAAGUUGAAGCUUUGGGGAGCCCAAGCCAGGAAGCUGGAGGUCUGUUUGAAAUCCUGUUGAGCUCCUCCCCUACCUCUGCUCCAGAAACUACAUGGAUAUUAGCAUCAACACUAAUCAAAAGAAUAAGAUCAAGGAUACUGAAGAGCUGCAAUGCAAUAGAUUUCUUUAUCCUUGAUACUUAGAUCUGAGCACAGUUCACUGUUGAGAACUGCACAGUUUGCCUUAACUAGAAAGUGUGCAUUUUCUUAUUUCCUCUCUGGGAUGACAGUGAUCACCAAAAAAUUGUUAUUUAAGAUACUUCAUUUAUUCAAUCAUUUAACAAACAUCUGCUUUGAAUAUCUAUUACCAAGUUCUGUGCUAGGAACAGAAAAUACAAAAUUUCAUAAGAAAUGAUUUCUACCCUUCAAUUGCUCAUUAAAAGAGCUGCUACCACUUCUUCAAAUUUGGUAGUAGUUAUUUCUGUGAGGUCACUGGGUUCAGACCUUAACCUAUCAACUGGAGUGUCUGCUCUAGAGCUAAGUGCUUUGCUGUGGACACUUGCUAUUUUGGGGAUAAGAAGUAUGAUCUCAUCUUCUCUUCGAUGUUUAGCCUAAGGUGAUUCACUUCAUUCAGCUUUAACAUCACUAAAAUGUGAAUUCAUACUAUUAGCGUACUUCUAGUACAAGCUAUAAAACCCAUUACCCAUGUGUAAGGCAUAAUUCUGACAGCCUAAGCUGGAGAAUAUCAUUAGCUAAAGUAGAGUAAGAUUGGGUGAGGUGGUUGUUAAGAGGUUUCUGAAUGAGUCUGAGUCAGGCCUCCAGGGCUAAAUUUAUUAAUGAGUCAUUUUCCUUGCCUAGCAGACACUGUGGCAGAAAGUGAAAGAGGAAGAAGCCAUUCGACGUCUGUUUUUAAAAAUGUGUUCUGUCCCUCAGUCCGCCAAAAAGUCCUCAUCUCCUGAAGCUGCAAGAAGAGACAGAGCCCAGCCUGAUAAUCUGAGGACUGAACUUCAAAGGUCACCCAGCCAAAAUAAUCUACUCUGCCUGCCCAAGUGUGAAGCCUAGUGUGAAACCUACUCCAGAGGUGAAACCCCACCAAGAGAUGAAAACCACUUUGGGAAAUACCUUAUGUCUGAUAUUUUCUUCUUCAUUUUUUGAUAGGACUUUUUUUUUCCUGCUCAAAAGUGACUAUCUGGUAGUACAUUCCCAGAGGAUCCUGGCCAGGUAACAGAGAAGUCUGAAAGGCUACCUUGAGAUAAGUUUUCAGAUACAUGUGCAGAUCCUGCUGGUUUGUUUCAUAGAUAUACAUGUGGCACAGUGGUUUGCUGCACCCAUCAACCCAUCAUCUA